CCCCCACUUUGGACAACAUCUGAAAAAGUUUUUAUUCUUAAAGCAAGAUUCCCUGUCUAUAGUUGAAUUUAAAUUUUGAUGUGCUUUAGGUGGUGUCGGCCAACCCCCACAUAGGGUGUGCUCCACUUGCCCUUCUACCCCUAUAAAUACAUAUGCAUUGUGAGCUCAACUCCACAACUAGACCAGCAGAAUCAUCUCGAGCUCACAGUCUCUCUUCUUAUCUCCUUUGUUGCAAGUUCUCGCUCAAGUUUAGUCUAGUAGUAGCAUCCCAAAAAAAUAAAACCAAAAAAUAUUUGCCCCUUUUCCCUUCCAUAGUAGUA
rnacentral:lncRNA from 1 species